CCUACGGGUGGCAGCAGUGGGGAAUAUUGGGCAAUGGACGAAACUCUGACCCAGCAACGUCGCGUGAAUGAUGAAGGCCCUCGGAUUGUUAAGCUCUUUUUUAAGGGAAGAAGAAAGUGACGGUACCUUAUGAAUAAACCUCGGCUAACUAUGUGCCAGCAGCCGCGGUAAUCCGGAGGCGGCGAGCGUUAUGCGGAAUGACUGGGUGUAAAGGGUGCGUAGGUGGGUUGGCAAGUUAGUAGGGUAACUCCGAGGCUCAACCGUAGAAUUACAACUAAAACUGGUGGACUUGAGUACAGGUGAGGCAGGCGGAAUUCGUGGUGUAGCGGUGAAAUGCGUAGAUAUUACGAAGAACCCCGAUUGCGAAGGCAGCUUACUAAACUGUAACUGACAUUGAGGCACGAAAGCGUGGGUAGCAAACAGGAUUAGAUACCCUUGUAGUC
rnacentral:rRNA from 1 species